rnacentral:rRNA from 1 species
AGAGUUUGAUCAUGGCUCAGAACGUACGCUGGCGGCACGCCUAAUACAUGCAAGUCGAACGGGGUAGCAAUACCUAGUGGCAGACGGGUGAGUAACGUGUGGGUAUCUUCCCUUUGGUGAGGAAUAACACGAGGAAACUUGUGCUAAUACCUCAUAAGUCUUUACAGAGAAAGCUUUAUGCGCCAAUGGAUGAGCCCGCACUUGAUUAGUUAGUUGGUAGGGUAAUGGCCUACCAAGACUUUGAUCAAUAGCUGAUUUGAGAGGAUGAUCAGCCACAUUGGGACUGAGACACGGCCCAAACUCCUACGGGAGGCAGCAGUAGGGAAUCUUGCACAAUGGAGGAAACUCUGAUGCAGCGAUGCCGCGUGAGUGAAGAAGGCCCUUGGGUUGUAAAGCUCUUUCGUCGGGGAAGAAAAUGACUGUACCCGAAUAAGAAGGUCCGGCUAGCUUCGUGCCAGCAGCCGCGGUAAUACGAAGGGACCUAGCGUAGUUCGGAAUUACUGGGCUUAAAGAGUUCGUAGGUGGUUAAAAAAGUUGGUGGUGAAAUCCCAGAGCUUAACUCUGGAACUGCCAUCAAAACUUUUUAGCUAGAGUAUGAUAGAGGAAAGCAGAAUUUCUAGUGUAGAGGUGAAAUUCGUAGAUAUUAGAAAGAAUACCAAUUGCGAAGGCAGCUUUCUGGAUCAUUACUGACACUGAGGAACGAAAGCAUGGGUAGCGAAGAGGAUUAGACACCCUCGUAGUCCAUGCCGUAAACGAUGUGUGUUAGAUGUUGGAAAUUUAUUUUCAGUAUCGCAGCGAAAGCGUUAAACACACCGCCUGGGGAGUACGACCGCAAGGUUAAAACUCAAAUGAAUUGACGGGGACCCGCACAAGUAGUGGAGCAUGUG